GUUCAUCUGUUGCAUUGAAGGAUAAUACUUUCUUAUGGAUAAAUCUUGGAUUAGAAAGCGAAGGAACACCACUGAAUAUUUGUUUGGUUUAAAUCAGUUUUUAGAUUUUGCAUUUGCUAAUGCUAUUGUAGGACAUAGAAUAAAAUGUCCUUGUCCAAAAUGUGGAUUCGCAAAGUAGCAGACUAGAGAUGUAGUGCUUGAUCAUUUGAUUUGCAAACCAUUCCCUCAAAAUUAUGUCACUUGGAGUAUUCAUGGUGAAAGGAAUGUGUUGGCUAAUUCUAAAAAUAUUGAGGUUAUACAAAAUACAUUACCUCCUGAGAAUCCUGUAGAAUUAUUGAUCAAUGAAGUAUUUGGGGGCCUAAGGUAAGAUGGGGUUGAUGUAGGUCCAUUAUAAGUAGUGGGUGGUGAAGAAUGGUUAAAUGGUGAGCCUGCUUCAAAUGACAAAGACUUUUUCGAGUUGCUUAGAUAUAGAAGUCAAGAAUUGUAUGAAGGGUCCAAUUACUCAAAACUAGAAUUUUUAUUAAAAUUAUAUCACAUAAGUAUUUGUCUGGUCUAAGUGACAAGGGUCUUAGACCAGGGAAUGACCAUGAUACUAGAUUUGUUGAGGGACGCAUUUACAUUUUCAAGGAUCCCUGAUUCUUAUUAUGAAGCCAAGAAAACCAUUAGUAAGCUUUGUCUUGAUUAUAUCAAGAUAGAUGCUUGUCCAAAUGAUUGUAUGUUAUUUUUGGGAAAUGAUGCUAAUGAGAAAACAUGUAAGUAUUGUCACACUUCUAGGUGGAAGCCUAUCAAGAAGAGAAAUGAAGAUCUUGUGUCUGCUACAGGUAAGGAGAAAAUCAAAAAGAAAACCAAGAAGCCUGCAAAGAUUUUGCGUUACUUUCCAUUAAAACCAAGGUUGCAGAGAUUGUUCAUGUGCUCUAAAAUAGCAAAACAUAUGAGAUGGCAUGCUGAGGAUGGUGACAGAGAUGGAGUCACGAGGCAUCCUAGAGAUGGUGAGGCAUGGAAGAGGUUUGAUACAACUUUUUCUGAAUUUGCUUUUGAUCCUCGAAAUGUUCGGCUAGGCCUAGCUAGUGAUGGCUUCAAUCCUUUUGGCAUGAUGAAUACUAAUUAUAGCGUUUGGCCAGUUGUUUUAGUUCCAUACAACCUUCCUCCUUGGUUGUGUAUGAAACAACCAAAUUUUAUUCUCUCAAUGAUCAUUCCUGGUCCACGUACAGCGGGAAAUAACAUAGAUGUUUACCUACAACUCCUUAUUAAGGAGUUGAAUGAGUUGUGGAGUGAGGUUGUCGAAACUUUUGAUUCAUCAAAGAAAGAGAUGUUUAGAUUGCGAGCAACUCUUAUGUGGAUAAUUAAUGACUCUCCUGGACUCAAUAUCUUAUUUGGUUAGAACUCACAUACUGGUUUAGCAUGUCCCACUUGUAAUUUUGAUGUAGAACCUUGUCGGCUUCACCAUAGUAGAAAGUGGUGCUUUAUUGGCCAUCGUAGAUUUUUAGCAAGAAAUCAUAAAUUUAGAUUGAUGAGGCAUCGCUUAUGUUGAGGAAAGAAAUCCACCAAAAAAGUUAUCCGGAUCUGAUAUUUUACAACAAGUGAAAGAUAUUGAUGUUACAUUUGGAAAACCGGCUGAGUAGACUGAGAGAAGGAAAAGAUCAAGAUAAAGAAAUAUUGGGCAAGGUGCAGCGCAACAAUGGAGGAAAAAAGCAUAUUCUUUAAUCUUCCAUAUUGGGAAUUCAAUUCGUUGCGCCACAAUUUAGACGUCAUACACAUCGAAAAGAAUAUGUUUGACAAUAUUAUAUAUUCAUUGCUCAAUGAUAAAGACAAAUCAAAAGACAAUAUUAAGGCAAGAAAAGAUUUACAAGAUAUGGGUAUAAGGUGUGAUCUUUGACCUGAUGAGAAUGAUAAUUGUUGGCUUGCUGUGUUUACCAUUCCAAGGGAAAAGAAAGUGGCCUUCCUCACAACUUUAAAGAAUAUUUCAGUGCCAUAUGGUUACUCGAGUAAUAUUUCUCAUUGCAUUGAUCCGUACCAAAGGAGAAUCUUUGGAUUAAAGAGUCAUGAUUGUCGCAUUAUUAUAGAACAAUUGCUACCAAUAGCAAUUCACAAUGUGCUGCCAAAAGAGGUUGUUGCAGUCUUGUGGUGGAGUUUGAUUACUUGGAUCCGAUUGGCGAAGCACAAGGCCUUCUUGCAGGCGUAUGUGGACUUUUAGCAACUGACUGUACCAUAUUUUCAAUUGGCUUUGAUAAAUGGUCGGAUAUGCCUAAGUCAUACUUUAACAACCGCUUUAAUAACGUUAUAAAGGUAUUACUCGGGAUCAAUGGACUUCCUUUGUGAACUACCGUUAUAAAGAAGAAACUCAGAACAUGUGUAAAAGAAAUGCUGAAAAUCGGAAGAAACAAACAGUUCCACACACCGGUGGCUCCAAACCUAAUUCUAGAAGAAGGGCUGAAAUGAUGGCUGAGACGGGGAGUAAGCCUAGACGAGCACAACUUUAUCUUGCUAUACAUACGAAAAAAGAUGCAUCAUAUGUAAAUGAGCAGGCAAAAGAAAUAUGUGUAAGUUACAAUAUAAGACCAUUACACCUGCAUCAUUGUGUUUGUUUCAACCUUUAUGUCAUGAUGUUUUGGUCUAGUCUAUUGAACGACUCUUAGUAAUGAUUCUAUUUCAUGUUCUCAUGCUGACUUGUUUGCCUAAAUGACUCUAGUCGACAGUCUUGUUCAUGAUACUAUGUUGCUCUGAACAGCUAAGAUAGAAUGAUCUAUGUGUGACUAUCAUGAAAACUAGAAUAAAAGGAAUCAUAUGGUGAACUUUGUUGAUAAAAGGAAUCCCAGUGACCACCAGUGUUCUUCUUCUAUUGUUAAGCACAUCAAAGCACCAGUUGAUAUUGUAAAUAUCAUCUCUUUAUUCCUAAUAUGUCUGUAAAAGUUGUGAAUUUUUGUUCGCUUUUGAUGUUUUAAUCUCUAGUCUUUUUUCCUCUUAUUCUCUUGAAUUCUGGUUAAUCUUGCUUUUGGAAUAUGUUAAAGAGUCUUUUCUCUUCAUUUUGUUUUGGGUUCUUUAGGAUUUCAAGCUGAUAUCUUUUGUUUAAUCUUCUCCAAUAGCAAUGGCAAAGAAGUUGUUAUCCACAAAUUUCUUAGACAGAUAAAUUGAUUUUUGUUUGUUCAUAUUGACUCUUACUGUGUUGUAAAGUUGCCUUGUGCCCGGUCCAUGAUAAAUGCAUGGAAAUGAUCUACUAAUAAACUGGCCCUGUGUUUUAUUUAAUUUGGUGUAGUUAUAAUUUAUUGAACAUGACAAAAACAUGUGAAGGAAAGUGUGGUAGUCGUGGGGCAAAGUGGGAAAAGAGAGUUUUCAACGAGGAGAAAGUGAUAACAACGUUUUGAAUAUAGGGUGGGUGCGUAGCCUUUAACUGUGUUGUGGACCUUUGGAUAUGUCUCAACAAUUACUACAUACAUGCUUACCAUUAAUAAUGUGUUUUUCAUUUUCUUCUUUAGUUACUUUUUUUCUAACUUUCACAUUUGAAACCUGAAAUUUAAUAUAGUAAUAGGGUACGAGGGUAAUUGUCAGAUUAAUAGUGUCGGCAAUAGCAGUAGCGACCUUUCUUUUUCAGGUUACUCAUUCAGACUAUAAAAUAUACAGUUAUAAGGUUGGCUCGAAUUUUUUUUAUGUGUAUUGUGUUUAGGAAAAAAUUGAGCUAGCAGUGAGUGAAAGUACAGUGGAUGAGUCUGAAAUUUCUCCAAAUGAUGUUGUUGGUAAGGUGCUAGGCAAAGAGCAUCCUGGAAGGGUGAGAUGUUUGGGAUUAGGAGUUACUCCAAGCAAUACUUUCAAAGAGACAAAUCUUUGUCUUGGUAAUAUUAGAAUUGUGAGUAAUAAUGUUGGAUGUUCUUCUUCUUGAUGCCAAGAGAAGUACAAUCAAUUGAUGAAUACUCUCAAAGCAUACAUGAUAAUGAAGGAAGGGCCAAUACUAGAACAAUUUGCUGGGAUAUUUGCUUCUCCUACAACGUCAAGUUAUGCAGUUAGUGGACUCGUUUCACCGACGAAUACAAGAAGAUCUUCUGGCGCUAGUAAUCCCAGUGACAACCAUUGAGAUUCAUUUUAAUUGAAGUGGAUGUAUUAGGAUAAUAUAAUAGCUAACUAAUAUAAACGGUUAACUAUGUUCUAAUUUAGCUUGAUGACAUAUGAUACUACUUUGUCAUAGUAUUUUUCACAGUUAAUGAAAUGUUGAUGUUUCUUAAUUUUAA